CGGUAUUUAAUCAAUUGAAGUUCAUUACACAUAUAGAUAUAGUCAAGUCAUAUACAACAUUGUGUAGGUAAAACAAAGCAGCAACCUUCAUCAUUUUUCCAUAAGCAAGAUUAUACCAAAAUUAUUAGCAUCGUGAUGAGCACAAGGUGAUGGUGAUCAUGAUUUAAAAAUAACAAAAACUAGGUUGUACUCCUAGUAGCCAUGUUAUUAUAGGGAGAGAUAUACAAAUGUUGCAUUGAGCCUAUGGUUGAAGGCUUAUAUACACAAGCAUUUAGAAAGAGAUGGACAAAGAGAAGGUUGAGGAACAAUUUACCGUCCUUUUGAUGCUUGUGAUGAAGUGUAGCGCAGCCUCCUCGAUGCUUAAGCAUUGUGCUUAGCAUGGAAGAAAAAAAAAAUGAGCAUCUUCUACCGACCGUGAUCCUUAUAUCCAUAUCUUCGUCCGCC
rnacentral:lncRNA from 1 species